UUUGAGAAAUUUCUGAGAAACUAGAAACACAUUAUUAAUUGUUAUGUAACAGCAAGCUUUACAAAGUUAACCAUACUAUUAAUAAAUAAUAAAAGGACUGUAUACAGGCCAAUAAUGAGAAUAUGUCAUAAAUCCAUGAAUCAUGACUCCAUGACUAUAUUAAUCAAAUCAAUGAAUUCAUGAAAAAAGUUAUCCACUGGAAUUUCCAAGUUUCCCUACAUAAAUUUUUAAAAAUGGAACAGUAUUUCAAUGAUAAAAGUAGAGUCUGAAAGCAUUUUAAAUAACAUCUGAUUUAUAUUUGAUAUCUAGUAUAUGAUAUCUAGUGGCUAAUCUUUUAAGGCAAUUUUAUUAAAAAAUAUGCAUACACAUACACACAAAGAAGGUAUGUUAUGGAGUUCCCGUCGUGGCGCAGUGGUUAACGAAUCUGACUAGGAAACAUGAGGUUGCGGGUUCGGUCCCUGCCCUUGCUCAGUGGGUUAACGAUCCGGCGUUGCCGUGAGCUAUGGUGUAGGUUGCAGACGCAGCUCGGAUCCCACGUUGCUGUGGCUCUGGCGUAGGCCAGUGGCUACAGCUCUGAUUCAACCCCUAGCCUGGGAACCUCCAUAUGCUGCGGGAGCGGCCCAAGAAAUAGCAACAACAACAACAACAACAACAACAACAACAACGUCUUUAUUUUUCUUUAAUUACCUACUUUCUCUUUAGCUAAAUUCUAGCUAAAAGGUGGCAUUUUGUAAUGAAAGACAAAUUUCAUCUAUUUUGUCAAUGUUCCUUCCCCCAAUGUGUCUCAAAUGCCCAUUUGCUUUUGGGUAUAACUUCACUCUAACACUAUUCUUUAGUAUAAUUAUUGGUUUUCCACUAACCUCUAGCUCAUAACUAACAUGAGAAUUUAAAUAAGAUCAUAUGUGGGAAUAUAUAUAAAAAACUGCAGUGGGACCAAAGUUCUUUGUUCUAGUUUACUGACAAUAAUAACCAAUAUUAAAACAUUUUAUAAGAUACAGAUAGCAGAUGUGUGACCAACUGAGUACAUCUUUUUAAGGUUAUAUUGAUACCUUAACUAAAUAAAAGUGAUGCAGAUUGUAACCAGAGAGUAGGAAUUAACUAGAAGGGGGAGGAAGGGCAUUCUUGGCAGAGGAAACAUCCUGUGCAAAGGCUAGGGAGAGGGAGGACUUGCAUGUGUGAUACAGAAUCUUAAGGAGCCAGGUUCAGCUUGGUUGAUAAUCAGGCUUAGGAAGUAGACAGAGUCUACAUUAGGCAUAACUUAGGGACCACACCUAAGAUCCUGAGUUGUUUCCUAAGGGUAGGGGAAGCCACUAAAUAGCUUCAGGUAACAGGAAGGAACAAGGGCUACAGCUUCUCCACACUUAACUCUUUCUUCAGCUAUACCAUACUGUAUGCCUCAAAACUCCCAUACAUGGGACAACUCUCCCUGGCAUUACUUGCCUCACCUUAUUUGCCUAACUACCUGCUAACCUGUCCUCAAGAUUCAGCUCAAAAUUUCACAUUGCUGCCCUCAAUCUGUUUCAGAUGCCCAUUCACCCUAUAUAUAAUUUCCCACUAACAUGAACUGUUCCUUAGCAAAAUGGUUGGUUUUCCACUAUCCUCUACUCUUUCUAAGGAGAGAGGACAUCUUUUAUUCAUCUAUGCUCCAAGGCAUUAAUGUACAAUAGUAAUUAAUAUACAAGUACUUCCAAAAAUCAUUUAUUCAAUGAUCAAUAAAACCCAAGACACAAUUGAGUAUAAUUCCCAGAUAUAAGGAUUGAGUUAUAUUUGUUCCCCCAUAAAAGCAUACAAAUUAAAAUGAUUUUAAAAAGCCUUGGAGUAUGUCAUAGGAAGAAAUAUUGCCUUAGAUUACAUUGAGCUACAAGAGCUGAGCUAUACUCCAUACUAUUUAAUAUGACCUACAACACUCAUUUAACAAAUAUAUAUUGAACAUACUAGGGGCCAAGUGCUAUAGCAAUGAUCCUUAUAUUAAAUGCAAAUUCAAUAAGAAGUGAGCUUAAUUGUAUAUACUACUUCAUGAAAAUUAUCACUCUGAUACUAUAUGUUACAAGAGCAUUGAAAUGUAAUAUUCACUUUCAAUCAUAACUCUGGACACAUCAGAUAACAAAGUCUAGAUUACUCAGAAUGUUUUCUCUUUCACAAAGUCAAAAGCCUUUUUGAAAUGUCAGCCCUGAACAUCAUAAAAUUAUACAGAAUGAUGAGGAACCAAGCUUAUAGUGCAUAUAAAUAUGAGAGCAUAUUAGACUGCAUUUAAUUACCAGUUCAAACAACAACCUGAUCUAACCUUUGACAAGUAAAAUAAAUGUUCUGAAUAAUUUAACGAAAGCAAACAUUUGCUGUUAAUGCUGCUAAUUAUAGUACAAGCUGGAAAAAAGAAAGGGAAGAGAAAUGAUGAAGAGAAGAGAAGAGAAGGGGAGAUGGAAUUAUUUUAAUUAAGGUUGAAAUCUGCAACUGUUUAUUGAAACAUGAAUUUUUUCAAUGAAUUCAAUUCACAUAAAAGGGCAAACUAUGUUGAGCAAAGUUGCUUUUAUAAAUACUCAGCUAAAGUAACAUUUCAUUAGAAAGCUCAUUCUUUCAGUAAGUAGAAUCACCAGAUAUCAUGGGGACAAGGAAAGCCAGUUACAGAUGAAUUAGGGUGUAAU
rnacentral:lncRNA from 1 species